rnacentral:rRNA from 1 species
UACGUAGGGAGCAAGCGUUGUUCGGAUUUACUGGGCGUAAAGGGCGCGUAGGCGGCGCGGUAAGUCACUUGUGAAAUCUCUGAGCUUAACUCAGAACGGCCAAGUGAUACUGCAGUGCUAGAGUGCAGAAGGGGCAAUCGGAAUUCUUGGUGUAGCGGUGAAAUGCGUAGAUAUCAUUUGGAACGCCAAUGGUGAAAACAGGUAGCUGGGAGUGUGCUGACGCUGAGACACGAAAGCCAGGGGAGCGAACGGG